rnacentral:miRNA from 2 species
CCCCUUAGGAGAUGUCCCAGUC